rnacentral:tRNA from 1 species
GCCAUAGCUCAGUGGUAGAACAUUGCUUUGCAUGUCCCAGGUUCAAUCCCUGGUAUCUCUA